rfam:Myotis lucifugus cont2.46523, whole genome shotgun sequence.
CGUGCACCGGUGGGGUCCCUUGGCCUGGCCUGUGGGGAUCAGUCCAACAUCUCCCAAGGGGUCCCGGGUUGUGAGAGGGUGCAAGCCAGGCCAAGGGACCCCACCGGUGCACA